rnacentral:rRNA from 1 species
UACGUAGGGCGCGAGCGUUGUCCGGAAUUAUUGGGCGUAAAGAGCUCGUAGGCGGUUUGUCGCGUCUGCCUUGAAAGUCCGGGGCUCAACUCCGGAUCUGCGGUGGGUACGGGCAGACUAGAGUGAUGUAGGGGAGACUGGAAUUCCUGGUGUAGCGGUGAAAUGCGCAGAUAUCAGGAGGAACACCGAUGGCGAAGGCAGGUCUCUGGGCAUUAACUGACGCUGAGGAGCGAAAGCAUGGGGAGCGAACAGG